UGCUUCAUACAAUUGGGUAUGGGGGAUGGAAAUUGUUGUCAACAGUCCUUGCGAAAUUUCUUCAAGAAUUUCUGCG
rnacentral:ncRNA from 1 species